UACAGAGGGUGCAAGCGUUAAUCGGAAUUACUGGGCGUAAAGCGUGCGUAGACGGUCAUGUAAGUCGGGUGUGAAAGCCCCGGGCUCAACCUGGGAAUUGCAUUCGAGACUGCAUGGCUAGGGUGCGGAAGAGGGAAGCGGAAUUUCCGGUGUAGCGGUGAAAUGCGUAGAGAUCAGGAAGAACACCGGUGGCGAAGGCGCUCUGCUAGGCCGCAACUGACACUGAGGGACGAAAGCUAGGGGAGCGAAUGGG
rnacentral:rRNA from 1 species